rnacentral:misc_RNA from 1 species
UUAAGUUCAGCGGGUAGUCCUACCUGAUUUGAGAUCAAACAUUCAAAGGGCUGUCCUCACAGAGGAGAGACAUUUGUAAGCUCCAGUGAACCUCCACUGCUGAAGGUUACCCUGGUGGAAAACCACAAGCGUAGAUAGUUAUCACACCUGUGAUGCCCACCAAAAACUGGCAAGCUGAUUCAUUUGAGAGGAGCCGACCA